AUUGAACGCUGGCGGCAUGCCUUACACAUGCAAGUCGAACGGUAACAGGUCUUCGGAUGCUGACGAGUGGCGAACGGGUGAGUAAUACAUCGGAACGUGCCCGAUCGUGGGGGAUAACGAGGCGAAAGCUUUGCUAAUACCGCAUACGAUCUACGGAUGAAAGCGGGGGAUCUUCGGACCUCGCGCGGACGGAGCGGCCGAUGGCAGAUUAGGUAGUUGGUGGGAUAAAAGCUUACCAAGCCGACGAUCUGUAGCUGGUCUGAGAGGAUGAUCAGCCACACUGGGACUGAGACACGGCCCAGACUCCUACGGGAGGCAACAGUGGGGAAUUUUGGACAAUGGGCGAAAGCCUGAUCCAGCCAUGCCGCGUGCAGGAUGAAGGCCUUCGGGUUGUAAACUGCUUUUGUACGGAACGAAAAGCCUCUUUCUAAUAAAGAGGGGUCAUGACGGUACCGUAAGAAUAAGCACCGGCUAACUACGUG
rnacentral:rRNA from 1 species